AUUCCAAGCUUAGAGUUUGAUCAUGGCUCAGAGUGAACGCUGGCGGCGUGCUUAACACAUGCAAGUCGAACGAUGAAGCCUAGCUUGCUAGGUGGAUUAGUGGCGCACGGGUGAGUAAUAUAUAGAUAAUGUGCCUCUUAGUCUGGGAUAGCCAUUGGAAACGAUGAUUAAUACUAGAUACUCCUUCUAAUCCUAAGAUUAGUUGGGAAAGUUUUUCGCUAAGAGAUCAGUCUAUAUCGCAUCAGUUAGUUGGUAGGGUAAUGGCCUACCAAGACAAUGACGCGUAGCGGGUUUGAGAGGAUGAUCCGCCACACUGGUACUGAGACACGGACCAGACUCCUACGGGAGGCAGCAGUGAGGAAUAUUGCACAAUGGGGGAAACCCUGAUGCAGCAACGCCGCGUGGAGGAUGACGCAUUUCGGUGUGUAAACUCCUUUUAUGAGUCAAGAAAAUGACGGUAGCUCAUGAAUAAGCACCGGCUAACUCCGUGCCAGCAGCCGCGGUAAUACGGAGGGUGCAAGCGUUACUCGGAAUCACUGGGCGUAAAGGACGCGUAGGCGGGUUAUCAAGUCAGGUGUGAAAUCCUACAGCUUAACUGUAGAACUGCACUUGAAACUGGUAACCUAGAGUAUGGGAGGGGGAGAUGGAUUAGUGGUGUAGGGGGUAAAUUCCGUAGAUAUCACUAGGAAUACCUAAAGCGAAGGCGAUCUCCUGGAACAUUACUGACGCUAAGGCGUGAAAGCGUGGGGAGCAAACGGGAUUAGAUACCCCGGUAGUCCACGCCCUAAACGAUGAACACUAGUCGUCGGGGAGCUAGUCUCUUCGGUGAUGCACUUAACAGAUUAAGUGUUCCGCCUGGGGAGUACGGUCGCAAGAUUAAAACUCAAAGGAAUAGACGGGGACCCGCACAAGUGGUGGAGCAUGUGGUUUAAUUCGAAGAUACGCGAAGAACCUUACCUAGCCUUGACAUUGAUAGAACACCGUAGAGAUACAGUGGUGCCCUUCGGGGAACUUGAAAACAGGUGCUGCACGGCUGUCGUCAGCUCGUGUCGUGAGAUGUUGGGUUAAGUCCCGCAACGAGCGCAACCCUCGUCCUUAGUUGCCAGCAGGUUAAGCUGGGCACUCUAAGGAGACUGCCUUCGCAAGGAGGAGGAAGGUGAGGACGACGUCAAGUCAUCAUGGCCCUUAUGGCUAGGGCUACACACGUGCUACAAUGGGGCGUACAGAGAGUUGCGAUACCGCGAGGUGGAGCCAAUCUCAUAAAGCGUCUCUCAGUUCGGAUUGGAGUCUGCAACUCGACUCCAUGAAGCUGGAAUCACUAGUAAUCGUAGAUCAGCAAUGCUACGGUGAAUACGUUCCCGGGUCUUGUACUCACCGCCCGUCACACCAUGGGAGUUGAUUUCACCCGAAAUUGGGAAGCUAACCUUCGGGGGGCUACCACUUACGGUGGAAUUAGCGACUGGGGUGAAGUCGUAACAAGGUAACCGUAGGAGAACCUGCGGCUGGAUCACCUCCUUAGAUCUGGAUCCCCUCUAGAGUCGAC
rnacentral:rRNA from 1 species